UUUUGGUCUGGGAUGGGCUCGCGGCCUAUCAGCUUGUUGGUGAGGUAAUGGCUCACCAAGGCGUCGACGGGUAGCCGGCCUGAGAGGGUGACCGGCCACACUGGGACUGAGACACGGCCCAGACUCCUACGGGAGGCAGCAGUGGGGAAUAUUGCACAAUGGGCGAAAGCCUGAUGCAGCAACGCCGCGUGAGGGAUGACGGCCUUCGGGUUGUAAACCUCUUUUAGCAGGGAAGAAGCGAAAGUG
rnacentral:rRNA from 1 species